GGCAGUCCUUGAGCUAACGCCCUCAAUCCCGGGGAUCGCUGAGAGAUUAUUUCCGGGGCGUUACAAAAAAAAAAAAAAUUGUCAAGGAAGUGAGGUCGGGCGUGUGCUUGUGGUCGGAUGGAGCAGCAGCAGCAGGAGCAGCAGCAGCUAAGGAACUUGCGGGACUUCCUGUUGGUCUACAAUCGGAUGACAGAACUCUGCUUCCAGCGCUGCGUGCCCAGCCUGCACCACCGAGCUCUGGAUGCUGAGGAGGAGGCCUGUCUGCACAGCUGUGCUGGGAAGCUGAUCCAUUCCAACCACCGCCUCAUGGCCGCUUAUGUGCAGCUCAUGCCUGCCCUGGUGCAGCGCCGCAUCGCAGACUACGAGGCUGCCUCAGCAGUGCCAGGUGUUGCUGAACAGCCUGGAAACUCACCAUCAGGCAGCUAGCCGUCCCCAGGACCCGGAAGGGAGGCACUGGAUGGACCCUCACAUUGAAGGAGCUCGUGGACCUGGGGCUGGGUGCAGCCUGUAUAUACAGAUUGGUGUGGGACCUAGCAGACAUAGUGCUAAAAUCUCUUGGACCUUGAAGACCGGGACCACUUUCUUGGAGAAGGCAGAACAACUAAAAGGCUGACAUUUUACUCCUGGAGUAAUUAUACCUGGACAGUUAUGUGAUAGAAAAAAUAAAUAAACUGAUCAUAUUUUAGUCAUUGUA